rnacentral:misc_RNA from 1 species
GCUUUCCGCAAUAACCUCCACGCCUCCCAAGUCCCAUCCCUAACGAACCAUAAUAACACUUUAAAACGAUAAAACUAGAGAGGGUUUUACCAAAUUUCAAAAUUCAAAUUUGAAAUUCCCCCUUAAACAAAACUUCCGUCACCUUCUUCGUUAACUUAUUGCCACCAUAACGGCAGAAAACCCCUCCGUUUUUUCCGUAAUAUAUAACCCUCUUUUUCUCUCCUCCACUUCCCCACCUCGAGCUCGUUUUCUCUCCUGUUCUCAGUGGUUGCUCCAAAUAACUCCAUCUUCUCUACUUCUUCCCUUUCCAAAACUCAACGUUUCGAAUCAAAAUGCGUGAGAUCCUUCACAUCCAGGGAGGCCAAUGUGGUAACCAGAUCGGUGCCAAGUUCUGGGAGGUGGUUUGCGCCGAGCACGGGAUCGAUUCCACGGGAAGGUACCAAGAGGGCAACGAUUUGCAACUCGAGCGAGUCAAUGUUUACUACAACGAGGCCAGUUGCGGAAGGUAUGUUCCACGCGCCGUCCUCAUGGAUCUGGAGCCCGGCACCAUGGACAGUGUCAGAUCAGGGCCCUACGGGCAGAUAUUCCGGCCCGAUAACUUUGUUUUUGGGCAGUCUGGAGCAGGAAACAACUGGGCCAAGGGACAUUAUACGGAGGGAGCCGAAUUGAUUGACUCGGUGCUUGACGUUGUAAGGAAGGAAGCCGAGAACUGUGACUGCUUGCAAGGUACUUCGUAUUUCUGAAAAGCAGUCGCUUAGGAAAUAUUUUUGCUUCUCUAUCAUUAUUGAUUGGAGGUGGUUUUAAAUGUGUUCUCUGUGGAACUGCUUAAAUUUGUCUUUGUAGUGUUUCUAAGGUGAAUCUUUGGAUAUGGAAGUAGAUUGGGAUCCAACUAUUUUGAAGCUGUAUAUUAACGCACUUUCUUAAAACAUGCUGUGAUGGCUACUUAUUUAAUCAGUCUAAAAUUUCUUGAGAAGUUGUAUUUGGUUCACUGAUCUGUGUGAAACUGGCAGGGUGGGGAGUUUCGGAGUUUAGGUAACAUGAAUCAGAAGCACCAAUUUGUACCAACAAGUGCUAAGUUGGGGUUUAGUUCCUGAGCAAUGCGUUUAUUUUUCUAUGACAAUGGCAUUAAACAACUUGAACUUUCAGUUUGCAGCUACAGUGUCUGGGGGAACUAAAUGUUCAGCUUCUUUUUAGGAUUCUGUAAUUGGCACUUAUAUGUUUUGAAUUUUUUUGCUAAUUUUUUAAUCAGGAUAAACCAAGUGCAGAGCCCUCUUUGUUUGUUUAUUUUCAUUUUUAUCCAUCACUAUGUCUGUGGGUUGCAGGAUUUACAAGUUUCUUCAACUGUUGCAGGGUUUCAGGUUUGCCACUCUUUGGGAGGCGGUACUGGUUCAGGCAUGGGAACGCUACUCAUUUCCAAGAUCAGAGAAGAAUAUCCAGACCGAAUGAUGCUCACGUUCUCUGUGUUCCCGUCCCCAAAGGUGUCGGACACUGUUGUUGAACCAUACAAUGCAACCCUCUCUGUUCACCAACUUGUUGAGAAUGCAGAUGAGUGCAUGGUUUUGGAUAAUGAGGCCUUGUAUGACAUUUGCUUCCGAACUCUUAAGCUUACUACCCCCAGCUGUAAGUCUUGGUUUUUUCCAAAUGUUUUGCAAUUUCAGUUUAUCAUCCUUGAGUUUUCCUACAUCAUUAUGAAUUUAAUGUGGCUUAAUAUUUGAUGAUUUACUGGUAUCUCGGUGCCUAGGAAUUUGACAUGGCUUCUUGUAAUGGUAAGUGUUUCCCUAGUUUUACUGUGAGGAACCUUUGUUAAUUGUUGUGUUUUGGAAUUGGCAUCAGUAUUUGUUCUUUUUGCUGCUAAAGCAAAAAGUUAAGGCAUUAUCAUGUUCUCUACAGUUGUGAGCCAUUGGUUGCACGUGGUCUAGGUUUGCUUUUUACGUUCGGAGAAAUGGGAGGCAGUUUAGUGAAGAUCUCGACUCCCAUUGUGCAGAAUGAUUUGUUUAAUUAGCUUUAGGUGUUAUUCCCGGAAAUAAAAUCUUGAAACUAGAUCUCACCUGGGUGGUAGUCACUAACGUUUAGAGUCAAAUCUCGUUCUCACCUGGUCCCCUGCAGCAAUAUUUACUGUUGUGGCGGACCAUAUGGAUCUAAUUUGAUUUGGCCUGUAAGACGCACGCAUUUUGUGCCUUUGAAUAAUUAAGUUCGUAGGUUGCAUGAGCUAGUAUAUUAUGGAUCUCGACUCUAUUAGUUAUUAUUUGCUAGUAUAUUAUUGUCUCGCAUUAUGUGUUUGUGGGGAUUUGAGUUUGAGACAAAACCAAUAUGAUUUAAUUAUACUAUGUUACUUCUAAAUGUAUCAAUUUAUGAAUAAUCCCAUGCUUGACUAAUCCUUUUGCUUAAAUCUAGUUGGAGACCUCAACCAUCUUAUUUCUGCCACCAUGAGUGGAGUGACAUGCUGCCUUCGCUUCCCUGGUCAACUCAACUCUGACCUUCGCAAGCUUGCCGUUAAUCUUAUCCCAUUUCCUCGGUUGCAUUUCUUUAUGGUUGGGUUUGCUCCACUCACAUCUCGUGGGUCACAGCAGUACAGAGCCCUUACCGUACCUGAACUAACUCAACAAAUGUGGGAUGCGAAGAACAUGAUGUGUGCUGCGGAUCCUCGUCAUGGCCGAUAUUUGACUGCUUCUGCCAUGUUUCGUGGAAAAAUGAGCACUAAAGAAGUUGAUGAACAGAUGAUUAAUGUUCAGAACAAGAACUCUUCUUACUUUGUUGAGUGGAUCCCCAACAAUGUCAAAUCUACAGUUUGUGAUAUCCCCCCAACUGGUUUAAAGAUGGCUGCAACAUUUAUUGGGAACUCAACGUCAAUUCAGGAAAUGUUCCGUAGGGUUAGUGAACAAUUCACUGCCAUGUUCCGCAGGAAGGCUUUCUUGCAUUGGUACACAGGAGAGGGUAUGGAUGAGAUGGAGUUUACUGAGGCAGAGAGUAAUAUGAAUGAUCUUGUUUCUGAGUACCAACAAUACCAAGAUGCAACAGCAGAUGACGAGGGUUAUGAGUACGAGGAUGAAGAGGACAUUCAAGAAGAGGCUUAAAUGCU